CAGGUCAGCAGCAGCGGGUUGGGUGGCUGCAACUGCACCAGGGAGGGCAGAUCCUGCCUGUUCCCAGCCCCUUCCAAGAGCACAGGAAGGCUCGGAUCCACAGCUGCAGUUUUGGCUGAUGUAGCCCCGCUACGUAUUGCAGGAGGGUGGGGCUCCUGCCUGUUACGUGAAGCAGGGGGCCUGGAUCUGCUGCCGAGGUUUGAGGUUUGGGCGGCUGCAGUGGCACCCGGGAAGUUUCUGCCCCAAAUCAGAAGGAGUGGGGCUCCCACUGACUCCACAGAGUGUGCAGCCCCAGCCCUCCUCUCUGCUGCAGCCGGGGUAAUGGCAGCAGCUGUUGCCAUCAACUGCAUUUGGAAAUAGAACCUUAAAAGAGGUACUUAAGUUAAAAUGUGGUUUUAGGGUGGGUUCUAACUCAAUACCACUGUGCCCUUAUAAAAAGAGGAGAUUAGGACACAGUCGACAAAGAGGAUGACCAUGUGAGGACGCAGCAAAAAGGCGACCACCUGGGAGCCAAGGAGAGAGGCCUCAGAAGAAACAAAACCUGCCAACCCCUUGAACUCAGACUCUCAGCCUCCAAAAUUGUGAGAAAAUUCUUCUGUUGUUUAAACCAUCCAGUCUGUAGCAUUUUGCUAUGGCAGCCGUAGAAAACUCAUACAAAGGGUAACAGCAAGAGUCUAUUUGUCAAGAUUUCUCCCUAAAGCCCUUUGGCUACUCAGGAAGGCCCUGCGUGAAACUUGCCAAGGAUUCCAUAUGACAGGUUCUCACUCUGUCACCCAGUGGCACAGGCUGGAAGGCAAUGAUGUGAUCACAACUCACUGAAGCCUUGAACUCCUGAACUCAAGAGAUCCUCCCUUCAGCCUCCCGAGUAGCCAGGACUACAGGUGCGCACCACCAUGCCAGACAUGGAGCUGAAGAAGCUGGCAACCCAGAAACAUCAGGGGAAAUAAACCAAAAAGCCCCAACAAAUGGCUGCUUUCUCUAGCUAAGGACCAGAAAAUGGGCAACCUAUCAAGGCGAAGAACUCUUAGACAAUAACCUCUCUAUUCCCAACAAUGCCAUGGAUAAAACUGUGACCUCCCGACACACCAACCGACCUCAAGAGAAAAGACUGAGAGAAGUGCCUAGACUCACUUUUCCCAGGCACUAGAGUCAACAACAAAUUGUUAUUUUUACCUUUCCAAGACAAUUAAAAAAAACUCAAAACACUUUAGUCCCUUUUACCUUCUCCAGCCUUUUGUGCUUGUAUCAUGCAUUUGAGUUAUAUGUACAUUUUAAACCUCAAAAGAUAUUAUUAUUGUUGUGCAGCAUAAAUACUCAUUGAGUUUUCCCCACGUAUUUACAUUUCCCAUGAAUUUUUAUAAUUCUCUGUUUUUCUGUGGUCUCAGUAGAGAUUAUUUCCUUUAAUCUGAAGUCUCCUUUUAGUGUUUCCUUCAGCAUGUGUCUUCUGCUGAUGAAUUCUUUCACUUAUCUUCACGUUUGAUGUUUUUCAAUGGGUACAAAAUUAUUGGUUGGCUGUAAUUUUCUUUUAAUACUGGAAAAAUAUCAUUCUCUUGUUUUCUAGCUCUGUCACUUCUUUUGAAAAGUCAACUGUCAAUAUUGUUAUUGGUCCGUUUAUGGUGAUAUGGAAUUCAUUUGGGGAAUGGAGCUGAUUUUAAGAAAUUUCUCUUUACCUUUGGUUUUUAUCAGUGUGAACAUGAUGUGCUUAGACAUGGCAGUUAAUGCUUGAGGGUCACAGAGUUUCUUGAAUCUGCAGCUUGAAAUUUGAGAAAAUUCUUAUGCAGAUUAUCUUCAAAUAUUCCUUUCCUAUAUUUUCUGCAUUCUCUUCUUUUGCUUCUAUUAAUGUAUUUGUAUUUAUCUUUUCACUCUAACUGUAUUUCACAUGUUUUUGGCUUACAUUUAUUUUUCAUUCUUUCUUGUCUUCAUCCGUUGGUCUCGAUGUUUCCUAGUAACCUAUCUUCCAGUUUACUAAUCCUUUCUUUUUCUGUGUCUAGCAUGCUGUUAGUCUAUCUAUUGAUUUUAUAGUUUCAGAUACAGAUUUUUUUUUCAGUUUUAAAAUUUUCAUUUGAUUUAUAUAUAUGUAUAUAUUCAAUUUGGGGUUAAAUUAUACAUCUUUUUUUUUACUUAUUAGUUAUUUAAAAAUCCAUAUAUCUAACUCUAAUGUCAUUCUUGCCUACAGCCUGUCUGUUGCCUAUUUUUCUCUGGGUUUUCCUUAUUUCAAUCUAUAUAUAUUUCAUCCUAGAUGUCCAUUCAAGUGCAUUACAGAUAUUUUGUUUAAAAAAUUAUACAGGCUCUGAUGUUAGAGAUUAUCUUGAAUCAGUUUAAGAAGUGAGAUAAUUGUUCACUGUGUUGUAAGGUCUAUGUAGAUUGAUUUAUUUCCAGUCUGCUCCCACCCUAUCAUAGACUUUUAGGGGUCUUAACUGAAGGUCUAAGGUAUUUACAAAGGAAGGCUCCUCUUCUUUGGCCAAGUCAAACGACACUUUUUUUUUUCCCUCCCCAGUCCCGUAAAAUGCCAAAAUCUCUGCUUGGCUUUUGGGCCUCUCAGUAGUCAUUUUUCAUUUGGUUUAUUCCCUUCUCAAUUCUUUAAAGCUUUGGUUUAGGCCCAUUUCAUAGCCUAAAAAAUUGGGUGAAGAAAUUGGGAAGAAAAGGCAUACCAAAUACGAGACUCACU
rnacentral:lncRNA from 1 species